rnacentral:siRNA from 1 species
UACAAAACUUGAUGGGUUAAUUGG